rnacentral:rRNA from 1 species
UACGUAGGGGGCAAGCGUUAUCCGGAUUUACUGGGAGUAAAGGGGGCGCAGACGGCGAUGCAAGCCAGGAGUGAGAGCCCGGGGCCCAACCCCGGGACUGCUCUUGGAACUGCGUGGCUGGAGUGCAGGAGGGGCAGGCGGAAUUCCUGGUGUAGCGGUGAAAUGCGUAGAUAUCAGGAGGAACACCGGUGGCGAAGGCGGCCUGCUGGACUGCAACUGACGUUGAGGCCCGAAAGCGUGGGGAGCAAACAGG